rnacentral:rRNA from 1 species
AACGAACGCUGGCGGCAGGCCUAACACAUGCAAGUCGAGCGGGGUUUUCGGACCUAGCGGCGGACGGGUGAGUAAUGCGUAGGAAGCUGCCCGAUAGAGGGGGAUACCAGUUGGAAACGACUGUUAAUACCGCAUAAUGUCUACGGACCAAAGUGUGGGACCUUCGGGCCACAUGCUAUCGGAUGCGCCUACGUGGGAUUAGCUAGUUGGUGAGGUAAUGGCUCACCAAGGCGACGAUCUCUAGCUGGUUUGAGAGGAUGAUCAGCCACACUGGAACUGAGACACGGUCCAGACUCCUACGGGAGGCAGCAGUGGGGAAUAUUGGACAAUGGGCGCAAGCCUGAUCCAGCCAUGCCGCGUGUGUGAAGAAGGCCUUCGGGUUGUAAAGCACUUUCAGCGAGGAGGAAGGGGUUGUAGUUAAUAGCUGCAACCUUUGACGUUACUCGCAGAAGAAGCACCGGCUAACUCUGUGCCAGCCGCCGCCGUAAGAC